GUCUUCGCCUCGACAAGUCAAGGAUCACAUGUAUGGCAGUCCAAUUUUGAAUAUCAAGUGGCACCAGACACUUAAUUCUACCGAACCUAAACUGAUAACUGCUGAUAAGCAUAUAGUGAGAGUUUGGGAUCCUAAUAUAGGAAACAACAUGACUAUCAUUGAACCUGAUAAUGGCUCUAUCAAUGAUGUUUGCAUCUUCUCGAAUAGUGGUUUAAUGCUAUUAGCCCUGGACAACAGCCAGAUAC